rnacentral:rRNA from 1 species
ACUUAAAUUGAAGAGUUUGAUCAUGGCUCAGAUUGAACGCUGGCGGCAGGCCUAACACAUGCAAGUCGAGCGGUAGCACAGAGAGCUUGCUCUCGGGUGACGAGCGGCGGACGGGUGAGUAAUGUCUGGGAAACUGCCUGAUG